rnacentral:rRNA from 1 species
CAUUAUUGAAUACUCGAUGGGUUGUAGCUGGCUCCUCGGAGCAUGUGCACGCCUGUCUUGACUCUAUUCAUCCACCUGUGCACCUAUUGUAGUCUCAUUUGCUAUGUCUUUAUUCACAAACCAUGUAGUAUGUUGCAGAAUGUAUUCAAUGGGCCAUCGUGCCUAUAAAACCUUAUACAACUUUCAGCAACGGAUCUCUUGGCUCUCGCAUCGAUGAAGAACGCAGCGAAAUGCGAUAAGUAAUGUGAAUUGCAGAAUUCAGUGAAUCAUCGAAUCUUUGAACGCACCUUGCGCUCCUUGGUAUUCCGAGGAGCAUGCCUGUUUGAGAGUCAGUAAAUUCUCAACCCCACCAGCUUUUGUGAGUUGGCACUUGGGGAUUGGAUGUGGAGGUUCUGCCGGCCGGUCGGCUCCUCUGAAAUGUAUUAGCGGAACCGUUUGCGAUCCGUCACAGGUGUGAUAAUUAUCUACGCCAGUGGGUUGCUCUCUGUCUGUUCAGCUUCCAACCGUCCUCCGGGACAAACAUAACUGAACCUUUGACCUCAAAUCAGGUAGG